GACGUAGGGCGCGAGCGUUGUCCGGAUUUAUUGGGCGUAAAGGGCGCGUAGGCGGCUUGGCAAGUGGAUGGUGAAAUCCCUCGGCUUAACCGAGGAACUGCCGUCCAAACUGCUUUGCUUGAGACCGGGAGAGGUGAGUGGAAUUCCCAGUGUAGCGGUGAAAUGCGUAGAUAUUGGGAGGAACACCAGUGGCGAAGGCGGCUCACUGGACCGGUACUGACGCUGAUGCGCGAAAGCGUGGGGAGCAAACGGG
rnacentral:rRNA from 1 species